AUCACGGUUAGUUUGUAAUUGCUCCGCGUCGCUGUCGUUACGCUCGCCGUGCAUGCAUUCGUGACACAGUGGCGCGUGGGUACGUGUGCAAGAUGCAUCCGUCCCGGAGACACGUGCCCCGGAGGACGUUUCUCUAUGCGACAGGUCUGUCGAUGAUUCGUUGACUGAUCCCUGCCAGUUUCCACGCGGGAAGAACGCUGAUCGAUGGCAGCCAAAACUCUGGGCGAGCAGAAUGCGAGUCUGAUUCCGAAGAGGUUAAGUAGAGUCCAGGACAAGUCCGAAGAAUCCAGAGCGAAGGUUCCAAGAUAUGGAACGUUCAAACGGACUUGGAGGUUUCGGGAGAGUCUCGAUGGUCACAAAGAAAAUCUCUAAAGCGCACCUGGUUGUACGCCUAAAGUCUCUUAGGUUCGUCGAGAGUGCAAAGCGGAGCAAAGCGGAGCAAAGCGCUAUGUGCUUAUCGAUCGAGAACUCGACGUUGAACCAGUUUGCGGUUACGCCAUCUAAUGGUUUUAAGGAGAAGAUAUGCGAUCGACUGUGAAUCGUUCGCCGCUCGUCAGCCAAAUUGUGCGGAAUCGUCGGUGAGAGAAAAAGCUGGUGCCUCGCAACGCUUCCCGUCGACGCGCAUGGGUUUUCCCAUUUGCCGGGACGGGACGGUAUGGGACCCGGUGCGUGUUCACGUAUCGGUGAACGCGUCUCCUCCCCGUCCACCCCCGCGCACGACGGAGUCCUCCGGCCUCUGUCCACCAAGGUUGCCACGGCCGACCAUGGGCGCGCGCGCGCGCGUGUGUGUGUGUGUGUGCACGCGCGCGGCAAUCAACUGGGAUUCUGUGUGGCCACGGAAAAUCGGCGGCGCCCGUUCGAGGACCCACACUGGAAAAUGAUGGGCGUGACCGACGAAUUAUUGCAGGGGUGCGGUAGGAAACGAUUCCGCAAUAAAAAAAAGCCGACGUAAUUCUUCCACGAACCGCCGUCGUUUCUGUUCCACCGCGCUGCUCCUAAUUCUCUCUUCGACAGCGAAUUCGAUCAGCCCUGUUAUCGAGACGCAAAGUGCUCCAGCAAACGUUUCUGUUCGCGAAAAUGAGCGAGUCGCCUUAAAUUCAUUACUCGCUGGAGCGAGGGAACUCGGCUGUAACUCGUCCGUUGCAUCCCUCCUAGAGGGAAAAAUGAGGCAGGAAAUUUAAUGUUCAAUAUAUACGGGUUAUACCCCCAUUUGAUUACACAUAAAUGCUUAAUUGCAUCGUGUGAGGUCAGAGGUAGCCCCAGGAGAUAGAUUAGAUUACAUAAUUCGAUCGACGAAAGAAUACAACGAACGAAUAAAUUGUAAAGCGAUUGCGUCUAACUGAGCAACAAUUGCAACUGAACCGCAGCUGAGCUACAAUUGCAGCUACAACUGUGCUGCAAUUGCAACUACAGCGGAACUGUAAUUGCAACUGUGCUGCAACUGCACUUCUACGUGGCGGACACGCGGCAUAGGGGGGCAAUAAUACGCGUUGAGGGCGAAAGAUUACGGGCGCACGGUUCUCCUACUCGUUUACAUAAUACAUAUGCAUAACCCGCGGAUCGAUGAUCCAUCGAUGGAUCGGUUCGAGACAAACUGCCGGAACAUGCAUUUAUUUAUCUCUCUGCGCGCCAAUAAUAGUACUCGCGGUACGGAUUUAUCGGAUCUCGGUCGGCGUGCGAUCGACGCGAAGGGUGGCGCGCUGGCGAGUAAAAAAAAAGGAAAGGGUGAGACGAGCGAUGGCGACAGGGGUGAAAAGCUUGCGAGAUGAGUCGAGCGGAUCUUACGUAACACGUGCAACACGUGAACAAGCGCCGGACACGAGGCGGAGAAUAGUAAAUCCGAUUUCUCAGCGAAACUUCCAUCGCACCCGGGAGGUUUACCACGCAUGAAUAUUUCGGGAAUGAUUUAGGGGAGGAUGCAACGGUGUUAACCCUCGGGAUUAAUUAAGUGGAACGUUUGCAUCCCUCUCGUGACUAUUUGGAAUUAUUGAGAUUAUCUAACAGUGCGAGGAAAUGUGCGAAGAAAAGAACGUUCGACCCCUAUCGUAGUAAUCGUUGUUCCGAGUCAAAUAUCUCCGGUCACACAACCUGUAUAAUAUUCUGUAUAUAACAAUCUUAUUAAUAAUAUUAAUAACAUAUUAUAAUAAAAAUAAUUCUGCCAUCGCAGGAAAAAAUUCGACGCCAAAGGACUGAAACGAUCGCAUCGAUCAGAGCGGAGAAACGUCACAAGAAACGGUUGAAAAGUCGCGGUGAGAUUCCCAGAGACUCGGAAAGUGUUCUACGGAUUCCCAGAGGUUUUCGGUGGAUUCCUGGAGGUCGCGAAGGAUUCCUAGAAGAGGCCGGAGAAAUUCAGAACGGCCGGUAUUCCCGGCGAAGGGGAUUCUGCGACUUCGAUUGGCAACGGUCCGCGAAUAUUUAGCGAGUCAUCGAUCGCGGAGAAAGGCCGACCGGACGCGACGGUGCAUUCUUGGAUUAGGUUGAGUUAACGGGGCCGCAGGAAACAUCGUUUUCCCGGCACGCAUCCCGUCUGGCAUGAUCCGAUCGGGCGACGAUUCGACGGAGCAGGAAAUCUCGUAGGAUCGGCAACAAUAAAACAAAAUGGUGGCCGCGGAUAAAGACGAGAGGGAACGGGAGCAAGAGAGAAAGGUGCUCGCUCGGUGCAUUCCGAUCGCUCGUGCUCGGUGCGUUGCACCUACACGACCGCGAGUGCAACGUCUUUCGUUAAUGGGGUGGGUUCCCUGAACCUGUUGCUACAGCGAACUUAGAUUUCUUGCACGCAACGAGUUUUCACUGUCAACCGGCCCCCGACCAUCUCGGACCGCCGUUCUCCACGCUGGAAACGUGUUGCACGAUGAUUACGAUCAUCCGGGCCCCGAUUCAUCUCGACCACUUCUCGUAUUCGAUUCGAAAGAAAUUCUCCUCCGACUUCGAUGUGCUCGCUGGAUUCUCCUUCCCUAUAAUAACGCGGCGAUAAGUUGCGCGAAUUUGUGUUGCAGGAAAUCGUAACACGCGAGAAUCGUUUUGUAACACGAAUAAUAUUUCCGAUGCGAGAGAACAGUUUUUUUUUCCUCGACAAUUCGGUGAAGGAAAUAAUUGAAUAAAUUCGUCACGCAGUUGCGAUGACUCGAUGACGAAAAUAAUUCAAUGACUCAAUGAAAUACAGAGAUCUCGCUUCGGAAGAAUUUCACAACGCUGUUACAUUGCGUCCAAUUUAUUUUUAUUUAACUCCCGCCUCUUGGUAUUGGUGCAGGAAAUUGUUCCUUUGCAUAAAGAGUUGCAGGCGAGUUCUGCAAUCGAUCGGGACACCUUGCAAAUCGCCCAGCGUCGUCUUGAGAGCGCCUCGCUCGAGCGCAUCAAUAUUUAUUCGACGCUCUUGAGAGAGCUGGCUUAAGAAGCUUUUCGGCGAUGAGAUCGCGACGAUCGGAGGAAGAGAUCGUGCCGGUGAAAUCACGGUUUCGCGAAUCCGAAUCCGGGCAGACACGCGACGGGAUUUCGCAACGCGGCUCGCCGCUGCGAUCACCGCUUUGAUCACCGAUAAUCAAGAAAAAUUGCCGCGCUCCUCGCCUCGAUUAGAGUUAAUUGAAGGUCUCCGCGGCUGGAAUACCGACCCGAUGGUGAUCUGAAAAAUCCGCGGGGAUCUGUUUUCUCCCGAGGCUGGCUCGGCGUCGAUCCAAAUUGGAGCGUAGAGAGACGACGCCCGCGCGGAUUCGCACGCAAGUGCGUGGGUGGCUCUCGACCGACGGGGCAGAGUUUCCUGAACCCGAACCUGUUGCGGUCGCGGUUUAUCAACGACGAUGAUCAAGCGACGAGUUUCCACGGGAUCGUGUUUGCUCGGAAUUUUUGCGCUCCCUGCGGGAUUCGAUCGAACGAGCAAUGAACACGGGGGCGAAGGGUGAAUCUUUUAACCCUCGAAGACUUUCACGGUACAUCCUUGCCCCGCGCGUAAUAUUUCUGUUCAUAAUUUAAAUGUAACAAUAAUUAAAAUGUAAAUUUAUUUAUAAUCGUAAGAUUCGUUGAGAAAACCGGUAAGGUCAACUUCAACCACAUCGUCCGACUAGACCGUUUGAGUUUUCGAGUCGCAGCGAACGUUCCCGAAUCGGAUCCGCGGAUCCGAAUAGAACAGAGCAAACGCGUCCAUUCCCACGUAAUUGAAUUGCUACUUUCUCUAGUUUUUCGUGACGGUCAAUGAACUGUCUCGGCUCGAGCGUGCCACGUUAAUUGAAACAAGUGAAAACGGCGGCACCGCGUUCUGCAUCCGAGUUCCACGCAAAUGAGAUGCAUUUUUCAUUGCGCCCUGGUCUCCCGCGAGAGAUCCAGGAGAUCCGUGAGAGAGAGAGAGAGAGAGAGAGAGAGAGAGAGAGAGCGCUAAACGCAAAUGUCUGUCGUUUUGACGAGUCCAACCGUUCCACCGUCCCAGGCAAACCAAUAUUUCUAGAAGCAAUACACCGGCGUUCGCUUCCUGCGAAACCGGGAAGAAGCUCGCCAAGAGUCAAGAUCAGCAUCGAAAUUGUUUAUUGUUCCCUUCACGCUCGAUUCACAAGAACAGUCAGCGAUUGACCGAACACGCCGCCUCCUUACCCAGAUCUAACCUCUGACCCGAGCGCGUUGCGCAACACGCAGAUAGCCAGAAUUAUGCAACGACUUGUUAUCUGCAAUUUCUCACGGCGCCGGUGCAUCGCGCCCCUUCGUCGAGCCCAUGGAGUUCUGAUCUGUUUAGGACUGGUCCCCGGAGUCUAUCGUAGAGUUCGCUGUUGCGAGAAGAUAAUAUCGUCGAAAUUUUUCUAUUAUUUUCUAUACUCGACGAAUCUUUUGACCGACGAAACUCCGCGAAAAAUCAUGACGACGACGUUUCUUCUCGAAUGAAAGCUUGAAAGCUCUGCUGGAAGACGAACGAUCGUCAAAGGGCGGCACGCGUCAUCGAGGAGGAAUUCGCGUUUCUUUCGCGACAGACAGUCUCGCGGGGGGUCCCAUCGGAUAAUACUAAUUACCGCUCGGCUGCGUCUAUUCAUUACUAAUCGACGCCGCUUGUCGUUCCUCCGCGGAUAACGUUGAUGCUUUAAUAAUCGCUUUGUGACGCUAUUAGCGUGUCCCGCGAACGCAACGUUCGGCUCGAGAGCCGGACAAUGAACGAGGAAGCAACGACGGCGUCUCCGGGUGCAAACAAACGGCUGGCAAGUUCGACUGUAACGAAAGAAAAGAACGCGUCUGCGAUAAUGUCGCCGAAGCGAAGAACUCGUUACGCUAAUGAGGCCGAUACGAAUUAACAAAUGUUCCAUCCCAGGAAUUUCAGGCCCGACAAAUGGAUCGUCUUGCUACUUUCUAGGCCCGUCUCUUACGGCGUUAUUUAGAAUUCCAGUCGAUCAUUAUUUUAUUCGAGCAAAUACUCUAUUCGAAUAAUUCGAAAAAAUUAAUAUGAAUGAAAUGGAAUCGAUGAACUAGGAGAAAACAUUUUAUAUUCUAUCAUUUCUUACUUUCUGCAUGAAAAUAUCUGUAUGAAUAAAUUCUUAAUCGAAUAAAAUCUUACUCGAACGAAA